AGUGAACGCUGGCGGUAUGCCUAACACAUGCCAGUCGAACGGCAGCACAGUAAUUUUUUGCUCUUACGGGUGGCGAGUGGCGUACGUGUGAGGUAUACAUCGUACUCUUCUUUUUCGUGUGGGUUAACGUAGGUAAACUUACGCUAAUACCGCAUACGACCUACGGGUGUAAGCAUGGGAUCUUUUGACCUUGCGCGAUUGAAUGAGCCGAUGUGGGAUUAGCUAGUUGGCUGGGUAAAGGCCCACCAAGGCGACGAUCCGUAGCUGGUCUGAGUGGAUGAUAGGAGACACUGGAAGGGAGACACGGACAAGACGACUACGGGAGGGAGCAGUGGGGAAUAUUGGACAAUGGGGGCAAGCAUGAUACAGCGAUACCGAGUGGGAGAAGAAGGCCUUGGGGUUGUAAAGACCUUUUGUUGGGAAAGAAAAGCAGCAGGUUAAUACGACGCUGUAGUGACGGUAACCAAAGAAUAAGCACCGGCUAACUACGUG
rnacentral:rRNA from 1 species